AACGGAUCAGAACCUGUGUGGAAAGGGGACAUCAGGCUUCCAGUCAGCUCCAAAGACCCCUCCUUUUAUGGAAAGGAAGAAUAAAACAUCUCCGCAGCUCACUGUGGCUUCAGGAGUCAGUUGAGGACAACACAAGAUAUGAAACAUGAGACUGGAAGAAUGAGUUGUUGGUUAAGAAGAAAAUAAAAAUAUGGUACCUGG